rnacentral:rRNA from 1 species
GACGAACGCUGGCGGCGUGCUUAACACAUGCAAGUCGAACGGUGAAGCGCCUUCCUUUUUGGUGGGUGUGGAUGAGUGGCGAACGGGUGAGUAACACGUGAGUAACCUGCCCCCUUCUUCUGGAUAACCGCAUGAAAGUGUGGCUAAUACGGGAUAUUCUGGGUCUGUCGCAUGAUGGGUCUGGGAAAGAUAUUGUUUCGGUGGGGGAUGGGGCCGCGGCCUAUCAGCUUGUUGGUGGGGUGAUGGACUACCAAGGCGGUGACGGGUAGCCGGCCUGAGAGGGUGGACGGCAACACUGGGACUGCGCGGCGGCCCAGACUCCUACGGGAGGCAGCAGGGGGGAAUAUUGCACAAUGGGCGCAAGCCUGAUGCAGCGACGCCGCGGGAGGGAUGGAGGCCUGCGGGUUGUGAACCUCUUUCGCCAGUGAAGCAGGCCUGCCUCGUUUGUGGGUGGGUUGACGGUAGCUGGAUAAGAAGCGCCGGCUAACUACGUG